UUUUCAUACCAUGUCUGAAAUCAUAUUUUUAUACACAAAAGAUGACUUACUCGAGUGAUUUUGCAUUUAAAAUUACCUGAUACAGACGAUACAAAAAGAUCCAGUGGUAUUUUUGAACUUUUACACUACAUGUGUAUUUGGAAAUUAUAAAGAAAUAUACCUUUUGAAUACAAGUUAUAGGAGGGCUAUAUUUGCAAGUUAAUCAUGUUGGUUUGUCCAUACAUUUGUCUGUUCAUUUUCAUGUUUCUCAGUAAUUUUCAAACUGCUUAAAUGAUUAUCAUGAAACUCACUAUUUUGAGUUAUUCACAGAAUGAGUAAAACCAAAUUAAGUCCCAACAGUUAUGAAUUGUAUUUUAAUAUUGUUCAUAUUUGGCUGGUUUCUUAUAGGAAACUUCAGAAGACAAUACUAAAGAGGACGACGACGAAGGGGGCCAGAAAUUCCCAGUGGAGCUUAAUCAAGAAGUACAGUUCAAGAUUGGCAGCUACAUUGAGGUAGAGUAUGAGCUGAACAGAGGAAGAAAGAAGGAAUGUAAAAAAUAUGUUGGAGAAAUUAUUGAUGCGGUCGAUGAUGAACCAUAUGUUAGCUUUUUUGGAUAACUGAACUGUAAGAAACAUUAAGAAGAAAAGACUGACUCAUAGAAGAUAAAGCCUUAGUGGCACCAUCACAGAUUGUGAAACAUUUGAAUAUUCCAGAAGAAAUUAUUCAAGGACGUGCAGAAAUGUUGAAUAUUCCAGAAGAAAUUAUUCAAGGACGUGCAGAAAUGUAUUUUAAAGAUUACCGUGUUUAGAGUUAAAAAUAGAAAAACCUUUCAGCAAAUUCCCAUGAUCAGCCGA
rnacentral:lncRNA from 1 species